rnacentral:lncRNA from 1 species
AUGGUCCAGUACAGCCAGGUUGUUCCUUCAACUGGGAAGAUGCAGACAGACAUCCAUGGGAGGGUUGUCUUAGCUCCUGCCUGGGCUGGGACACAGAAAGGAACAUCUGCCGAAAAAGUGACCAAAAAGAAGAACCCAAAGAGUCUCAGGAGUGUUUUUGGCAUCUUGAGGCCAAACUUGAGCAGUGAGGUGUGGUCCACCAUUCUGGCUCCGACCUGGCUUCAUGGAUUCAAGAUGGACGCCAAGGAUGAAUGGGAGCUUCUGGCUGUGAAGGCUGCUUCAUGGGUCCAAGAACAAAGGGUGAUAGGAGAGGAUGACAACACCCUUGUGUUGUAAGGUGUCAUGCGAUCCAUAAAAUGAUGCUGGACUUUUAUGGGAACUGAUCUCUCACCCUCCAAGCACUGAAGAACAUGUCUAUCUUUUUGAUUCUCUCAACCACCUUGUUGCUGUCAGAACUCACUCGGUUUAUUUCUCCAGAUCUGAGCUCUGGAUCACCCCUGUGCCCCGUUAAAU